rnacentral:rRNA from 1 species
UAGGGAAUCUUCGGCAAUGGGGGCAACCCUGACCGAGCAACGCCGCGUGAGUGAAGAAGGUUUUCGGAUCGUAAAGCUCUGUUGUAAGUCAAGAACGGGUGUGAGAGUGGAAAGUUCACACUGUGACGGUAGCUUACCAGAAAGGGACGGCUAACUACGUGCCAGCAGCCGCGGUAAUACGUAGGUCCCGAGCGUUGUCCGGAUUUAUUGGGCGUAAAGCG